AGAGGAAGGAAGCAUGGUAAUGUGCACGGAGAUUGACUGAACUCGGUCUGCAUGUCUGCUCGCGCUGAUGCCUUCGGGCUUUGAUCUCGUGGGCCUGGAUUUGACCCACACUA
rfam:Triticum aestivum genome assembly, contig: Triticum_aestivum_CS42_TGACv1_scaffold_030617_1BL